rnacentral:rRNA from 1 species
UUGAACGCUGGCGGCAUGCUUUACACAUGCAAGUCGGACGGCAGCACAGAGAAGCUUGCUUCUUGGGUGGCGAGUGGCGAACGGGUGAGUAACAUAUCGGAACGUACCGAGCAGUGGGGGAUAACUAAUCGAAAGAUUAGCUAAUACCGCAUAUAUUCUGAGGAAGAAAGCAGGGGACCAUUUAGCCUUGCGCUGUUUGAGCGGCCGAUAUCUGAUUAGCUAGUUGGUGGGGUAAAGGCCUACCAAGGCGACGAUCAGUAGCGGGUCUGAGAGGAUGAUCCGCCACACUGGGACUGAGACACGGCCCAGACUCCUACGGGAGGCAGCAGUGGGGAAUUUUGGACAAUGGGCGCAAGCCUGAUCCAGCCAUGCCGCGUGUCUGAAGAAGGCCUUCGGGUUGUAAAGGACUUUUGUCAGGGAAGAAAAGGGCGGGGUUAAUACCCCUGUCUGAUGACGGACCUGAAGAAUAAG